rnacentral:tRNA from 1 species
CGUCUCCUGAUCGGGGUGGGCCUGCUGUCCGCAGUCUGGGGUGCGGCGGAUAGGUGUGACGCCGCGCAGGUCGCGCCGGUUCUAGCGCCGACCGAGAUGA